AACUUUCGACAACGGAUCUCUUGGUUCUCCCAUCGAUGAAGAACGCAGCGAAAUGCGAUAAGUAAUGUGAAUUGCAGAAUUCAGUGAAUCAUCGAAUCUUUGAACGCACCUUGCGCUCUUGGGUAUCCCAAGAGCAUGCCUGUUUGAGUGUCA
rnacentral:rRNA from 1 species